GACAGAGGGGGCAAGCGUUGCUCGGAAUUACUGGGCGUAAAGGGCGCGUAGGCGGGAUGGCAAGUCGGUCGUGAAAUACCUCGGCUCAACUGAGGAGCGUCGAUCGAACUGCCGUUCUUGAGGGUUGCAGAGGAGACGUGGAAUUCCCGGUGGUAGCGGUGAAAUGUGUAGAGAUCGGGAGGAACACCGGUGGCGAAGGCGGGUC
rnacentral:rRNA from 1 species